AGGACGAACGCUGGCGGCGUGCUUAACACAUGCAAGUCGAGCGGUAAGGCCUUUCGGGGUACACGAGCGGCGAACGGGUGAGUAACACGUGGGUGAUCUGCCCUGCACUUCGGGAUAAGCCUGGGAAACUGGGUCUAAUACCGGAUAUGACCUCCUAUCGCAUGGUGGGUGGUGGAAAGAUUUAUCGGUGCAGGAUGGGCCCGCGGCCUAUCAGCUUGUUGGUGGGGUAAUGGCCUACCAAGGCUUUGACGGGUAGCCGGCCUGAGAGGGUGACCGGCCACACUGGGACUGAGACACGGCCCAGACUCCUACGGGAGGCAGCAGUGGGGAAUAUUGGACAAUGGGCGAAGCCUGAUCCAGCAACGCCGCGUGAGGGAUGACGGCCUCGGUUGUAACUACGUUC
rnacentral:rRNA from 1 species